CAGGCGUCUAAGGUAGACUCCCACUACGUUACCUUACUGAUGAGUCCGGUAAUGGAAGCCGGGACGAAACGCCAA
rnacentral:hammerhead_ribozyme from 15 species